GUUCAGUUCCCAGCACCCAUAUCAGGGGGCUCACAACCAGCAGUAACCUCCAGCUCAGGGGAAUCUGGUGCCCUCUUCUGAUCUCUUCAGACACUGAACUCUUGUGUACGCUCCCUCUCCUGUCUACACAUGGUUUUAAAAGAAAUCAUUAAAAAAAAAAUAGAACAUCAUAUGUCAUGCUGAGAACCAAGAAAACCUCAAAUAAAAAAGAACAUCAAUAGGCACAAACGUCAAGUCAACACAGAUACUGGAAUUAUCUGGCAAGGACUGCGCAGUAGCCAUGGUAACAUACUGCUGCGAUUACAACAAGAAAACAGAAGGCUCCCACAAACAAACAGAUGCAUAAUGAAGAGUCAGGUGGAAACUGUAGAACUGGAGUCGGAAUCAGAAUCAAAAGUUACUGGCUGGUCUCAUCAACAGAAUGAAGGGGUCUGAGGAAGAACCAGGAGAUUCGAACCAGGAGAUUCAAAGACAGAGUCUGCACCUGGAGAAAUGGAAUAUUAGAAGCUGGCCCUCGGCCGGGAUGGUGGCACACACCUUUCACCUUGGGAGGCAGAGGCAGCGAAAGUACCCCUUCGGAAUGGAGGGGCAAUGGAGCCAUUCCCAAGUGAAGGAAGAUGAGAAGAACCAUGGCCAACAGGCCCUAAAGUGGAUCAGCAGGACAGUGAGGAACUGCCGGGAACUGCCAGGAGCUGCAGACUGAGUAAAUGCAGGGAAUGUGACUUUCCUCAACUGUCUUAAAUUGUAUCCCAGGAAUAAAGCAAAACUUUCCCCCGCUGUC